rnacentral:ncRNA from 1 species
UCAGGGGCAAGCGAUGAGGCUCGCUUUCGGUUUGAGAAUCGCCAUGUAUGGCUGAUAGCCUCUACCCUGAA